UACCAGACUCCUACGGGAGGCAGCAGUGGGGAAUAUUGCACAAUGGGGGAAACCCUGAUGCAGCGACGCCGCGUGAGUGAAGAAGUAUUUCGGUAUGUAAAGCUCUAUCAGCAGGGAAGAAAUAGCGACCUUUGGGUCGCCAGACGGUACCUGACUAAGAAGCCCCGGCUAACUACGUGCCAGCAGCCGCGGUAAUACGUAGGGGGCAAGCGUUAUCCGGAUUUACUGGGUGUAAAGGGAGCGUAGACGGCAGCACAAGUCUGAAGUGAAAUGCCGGGGCUUAACCCCGGAACUGCUUUGGAAACUGUGGAACUGGAGUGCUGGAGAGGCAAGCGGAAUUCCUAGUGUAGCGGUGAAAUGCGUAGAUAUUAGGAGGAACACCAGUGGCGAAGGCGGCUUGCUGGACAGUAACUGACGUUGAGGCUCGAAAGCGUGGGGAGCAAACAGGAUUAGAUACCCCUGUAGC
rnacentral:rRNA from 1 species